UGGCCUCCAAUGUGGAGCCCGAGAAUGGGGGAUCCAGUGAAGAACACUGUUAAGAAAGCCAGUGCAUGUUACGAAUAAAGAGGAGGAUUAGACACAGGAACCUGCUGUGUCUCCUGAACCUCGGUAAACAAAACAGCAAUUAUGGGACAAGAAAUUACUCAAUAUAAAUUGUUCAUUGAUGGUUUAAGAAAAGCCUUAAAGGCAGGAGGGGUAAAAUUAAAGAUUAAGCAAUUGUGUGAUUUCUUUGAUUACAUUAAGGAUGUCUGUCCAU
rfam:Neotoma lepida isolate 417 scaffold_7069, whole genome shotgun sequence.